CAAAGUUUAUUUUCUUCAAAAGUAAAGCCAAAUUGCCUCUACAGCCACGGAUGCCAAAGACAUUUGUGCCGCUUUGAUUUAUCUGGUGCAGUUGCUGUCGGCGUUUCAUGCAAACAUGUAUAGUUCAUUUUCUGGAUAAUUUGUUCAAAAGAUCAAGUUUACUUCUGCCCAUGUGAAGCAAACUGCAAUCUAAUGUUUUUAAUACAGGGUGUAAUAAGAUAUUUACUUGUCAGAUAAAAGAAUAUGGUAUAUUAGAAUUCAAGCAUUUGCUGGACACAUCAGAUUCUCGGCCCACGUUUGCAGUCAUCGCUUAAAGGAACCAAAGAAGCAGAUGUAACUAUUAGUUCACAAGGGGAAAAUAUAACUGGCGAGUAUGCUAUGUCAUUGCCAUUAAACUUGAAAGCUAAAAAUAGAACUGGGUGACUAUGAAAAUAAUUUCUCUCUCAUUGGUUGUCACUAAUAGCAUUAUAACCGAGAGAUAUUUGUAGAU